GCACCGGCGAGUGAGCAUCGGCAUCGGCCAGCAUCCUUAGGUGAGUCAGUGAAACUGGAAAGAAUUUUUAGGACUAUAAUUUCCUCCUCAUAUAGCAGCCAACAAUAUGUGCCCUCCCACACCUGGGCUUAGCCUAUUGAUGGAUUCAAGACAAGGAUGUUUGUAUUGAUCUCAGAUUAUUCUCAGUUUCAGCGUCAAAGUAGUUUGUCAUUUCGAUCACUUGUGCGGUAUUAAAAACGAUUCUGCCAAAGUCUGCAGUCAUGUAAAAUGAUGCAGAAUUGCAUGAGAUGCUUUUACACAAGGCCAAUUUUUUCCCAGGACCCUAGGCUACAAAACAACUUCCCAUGUGUGCAACUUGUGUAAGUGCCUCAACUCUACUGCUCUAUGCCACUACUCAAAUGCAAAGAUAUGUUAUGCAAUGCUUUAUUAUAAAGGUGAUAUUAUUUUUUUUGUCUCAUGAGCUCUCCAAAUUAGCAAUUCAAUUUCACUUUGACCAAAUUUGACACUCUUAUUGACCUCUUGACAAAACAAUCUCCACUUUGUCUGCUUCUCGCUAUAUUUUCAUGCUACACAUUUUGGGGCGGAGUCGAGCCUCUGUUUUCUCCGCUCGCUUUGCUUCUUCCUCUCCGCUAUUGGUCAAAUUUGAUGAAACUCAGCAGGAUUGUAGAACGCACCAAGAGUAGCCUAACUGGCUAUAGUAACUAUUACGCCUACUUCAAACACAGUCAAUGAGGGUAGGUAACAAGAUCUCCACCCCGCUGAUCCUCAACACUGGGGCCCCACAAGGGUGCGUUCUGAGCCCUCUCCUGUACUCCCUGUUCACCCACGACUGCGUGGCCAUGCACGCCUCCAACUCAAUCAAGUUUGCUGAUGACACUAAAGUGGUCGGCUUGAUUACCAACAACGACGAGAUGGCCUACAAGGAGGAGGUGAGGGCCCUCGGAGUGUGGUGUCAGGAAAAUAACCUCACACUCAACGUCAACAAAACAAAGUAGAUUAUUGUGGACUUCAGGAAACCGCAGAGGGAGCACCCCCCUAUCCACAUCGAUGGGACAGUAGUGGAGAGGGUAGUAAGUUUUAAGUUCCUCGGCGUACACAUCAGAGACAAACGGAAUUGGUCCACCCACACAGACAUCGUUGUGAAGAAGGCUCAGUAGCGUCUCUUCAACCUCAGGAGGCUGAAGAAAUUUGGCUUGUCACCAAAAGCACUCUUCUACAGAUGCACAAUCGAGAGCAUCCUAUCGGGCUGUAUCACCGCCUGGUAUGGCAACUGCUCCACCCACAACCCGUAAGGCUCUCCAGAGGGUAGUGAGGUCUGCACAACGCAUCACCGGGGGCAAACUACCUGCCCUCCAGGACACCUACACCACCCAAUGUCACAGGAAGGCCAUAAAGAUCAUCAAGGACAACAACCACCCAAGCCACUGCCUGUUCACCCCGCUAUCAUCCAGAAGGCGGGGUGAAGCAGGGACCGAGAGACUGAAAAACAGCUUCUAUCUCAAGGCCAUCAGACUGUUAAACAGCCACCACUAACAUUGAGCAUACUGACUCAGCUCCAGCCACUUUAAUAAGGGAAUUGAUGGGAAUUGAUGUAAAAAUAUACCACUAGCCACUUUAAACAAUGCCACUUAAUAUAAUGUUUACAUACCCUACAUUACUCAUCUCAUAUGUAUAUGUAUAUACUGUACUCAUUUAAACUGCUGCAUCUACUGCAUCUUGCCAUCUUUAUGUAAUACAUGUAUCACUAGCCACUUUAAACUAUGCCACAUUAUGUUUAUAUACCCUACAUUACUCAUCUCAUAUGUAUAUACUGUACUCCAUACCAUCUACUGCAUCUUGCCUAUGCAGUUCUGUACCAUCACUCAUUCAUAUAUCUUUAUGUACAUAUUAUUUAUCCCUUUACACUUGUGUGUAUAUGGUAGUAGUUGUGGAAUUGUUAGGUUACAUUACUCAUUGGUUAUUACUGCAUUGUUGGAACUAGAAUCACAAGCAUUUUGCUACACUCGCAUUAAUUAACAUCUGCUAACCAUGUGUAUGUGACAAAUAAAAUUUGAUUUACUACUACUGGGAUACACUCAGUAAUAGCUACUCUCCCACUACUAUUUAUAAUACAGUCAUUACUACACUAGCCUCAAAUUGUCAACACUAGACUCAAACUAUUUAAACUCGUAAAUUCCUUUGACUAACACACACAAAAAAAUGUUCUGUACAGCUGAAGCAAGUCUUUUUACUAUGUUUUUCUACUCAUACAGCCUGAGUAAGCCCAUGGGCAGGAGCAGAGUAUGGAACAUGGUCUCUCCAGAAAAGCUUUUGUACAAGCAGCCCAGUGUCUUGAUGGGGGUGAUUAUUCCAACUCUCUGUGGAAUGCUGCAGAUCUGCCCGCAGACGAGAUAGGAACACUUAUCCCACACAGAAGAGGUGGAUGGAAUCUGGCAGGUCAAGGUAGCCUUCUUCCUCCAAACUGUGCAGCAAGUUGUAGUACUGACAUGUCACAGCACUCCAAACAUCUCUCCAUAAGCGUUCCGCUCUAACAGAGAGAAACAAAAUGUGGUCUUCCUCCAUGAUUAGUGGACACUGAGGUGGGCUCGAGGUUAUAGAAAUACAAGUUGUGUGUGCCACUGUGAGUGGUUAGUGACUGUAUGUGACGCAGACACCUAUCGGAGUGUACCUGAAACAUUUAAAUAUAGAGGGCUAUGUUUCUUACCACUUGGUUAUUGCAAGGCUAACCCCCAGGGAAAUCAUGACUUUGCAGCUUUGCAGGUUGAUAGUCCAGCGAAAAUGGCUGAGUGUUUAUGUGGCAUAAAUCUUAAAAUUAGCAGCUGACAUCUUUAAUGUUUUUUAAUGAAUGCAUGUGAGACAGGUUCCAUGUACAACAAGGCAGGCAGAGAGGAAGAGAGAAAAAGAACACAGAACAGUUUAAUUACAUCUGGUUAUGGACACUUUUGCCAGCAAAAAAGCUUCCACGGCCUGUUCCUCGGACAGUGAACAUCUGGCAAUAUCUACAUUUUCGACCCCUUGAUCAGCUCGCUUUCUGAAAGUAAAGAAAAUAGCUUAUUCAUUGUCGAUAUGAAAACAAUAACUGAGUUAUGACCCUUCAAUCUAAAAUGUCCUUUUCAGGACACGUCAAUACAGCCCAGAAAGCAAUCUUAGGCGUUUUGAUGAGGAAGAUGUCAAGGGUUUUUAUACAGAAAGUAUCUCCUCACAAGACGUUACAACACAUUAGUGGUUAGGAUGAAUAUUUUUUCAGUCUACUAUAUCAAUAUUUACCUAGAAGGCCAUCCAUUUCUGCCGACUCCACCCAUAAAGUAUCCAAAAGCAGUUGCCGCUUUGUUAUUGGCCACAGUGUCCAGAUAGAACAUCUAUACAAGAGGUAGCCCACGCUUAACACCAGACUGGUAUUGUGGUUGUUCAUUAGGUGAUGGGAAAUAUGCAAUAUGCAGGACUUCAAGGCCAAGUCAUUCGCUUCACAGGGGUCAUUAAAAACUAUGCUGAAGUUUGUCCCAAUGUAUAAAACCAGGAAGUGGAUAUUCAACCGGAAGAAGAAAAACUUAAUUUCGUCAAAGCGGUAAAAUAAGUAUAUAUUAAAGUUAUGGUUAGGUUUAGGAAUGAGGGUUAGGUUAAGGUUAACUUUAGGUAUAGUUUUACUGAGGUUGAUUGGAUUAAGAUUAGGUAAAGGCAUAAUAACAAUAAUUCGGUGGUGUGCUUAUAUUUGUCACCUGUGGGUGCUUCUUGUACAAAUGUGUAAUGGAAAUGUGUUUCUUGCAUAUCCCAACUCCUCCUGAAACACCCGCAGGGAGUGGGGUCACGGCCAGGGUCACCAUUGAUAGUUUUUAAGUUAUAAGAACAUGUUAAAAAUGUCCUAUCUUAUAUUUAAUUCUGUAUUCUGUAGCCUACCAAUUUUGCAUGUUGAUUACUGGGGGGAGAAUGAAUAAAUAUGUCAAAAAGUAUACCACAAUAAUAUGAGUAUAUUAUAAUUGUUUUAUUUGUACUUUUAUGUUAUUUUCUUGAAAUAAAUAUUUUACC